rnacentral:rRNA from 1 species
GAUGAACGCUGGCGGCGUGCUUAACACAUGCAAGUCGAACGGAAAGGCCCAAGCUUGCUUGGGUACUCGAGUGGCGAACGGGUGAGUAACACGUGGGUGAUCUGCCCUGCACUUUGGGAUAAGCCUGGGAAACUGGGUCUAAUACCGGAUAGGACCACUUCUUGGAUGUUGUGGUGGAAAGUUUUUUCGGUGUGGGAUGGGCUCGCGGCCUAUCAGCUUGUUGGUGGGGUAAUGGCCUACCAAGGCGUCGGCGGGUAGCCGGCCUGGGAGGGUGUACGGCCACAUUGGGACUGAGGUGCGGCCCAGACUCCUACGGGAGGCAGCAGUGGGGAAUAUUGCACAAUGGGCGCGAGCCUGAUGGAGCGACGCCGCGUGGGGGAUGACGGCCUUCGGGUUGUAAACUCCUUUCGCUAGGGACGAAGCGUUUUGUGACGGUACCUUGAGAAGAAGCACCGGCUAACUACGUG